GGUUUGUGUCUCAGUGGUAGAGCAUUUGCCUUGCAUUCAUGGGGCACUGGGUUCGAUCCUCAGCACCA
rnacentral:tRNA from 1 species